AAAGGAAUGGAGUUAUCAAGAGACUUAUACUGGAAACUUCAAAUACUAGGCUGGAGAAGAACAACAACAAUAACAAGUAACAAUGCAAUGUCUUGGAAAUAACACUACACACCAGGUACCUCUAAGAAUUUAUAGACAACAUAAAUAUAUGGAUUGUAUGGUGAGUAGAGCAUGUUUAGGAACAUGGAAUAGAGGUCGACGUUCCAAGUGCACAUGGUUAUCAAGACUCAACGUGGUCAGACGUUGUCCAGGGUCUCGAGCGCAUGGUGGAAGAAAUGGAGGAAACCGCUAUAGGGCACUAGUUGGCGCAGAUGUAUGACGCUCAUGUGUGUUUUUGUAAUUCUUCAUCUACUUGCAGACGAGCUAUGACGCUUCUAAUCUAUAUUUACUACUGCACUAUUCUCUAUUAUCACAAUGACUCCAUGCUGUCAUGUAGCGGAAGA
rnacentral:lncRNA from 1 species